rnacentral:rRNA from 1 species
AAAGUUUGAUCCUGGCUCAGGAUGAACGCUAGCGACAGGCUUAACACAUGCAAGUCGAGGGGCAGCGGGGAUAGCAAUACUUCGCCGGCGACCGGCGCACGGGUGAGUAACACGUGUGCAACCAACCCCGUACCGGGAGAUAACCCGCGGAAACGUGGACUAACAUCCCAUAAUACUGGAGGAUCGCAUGAUCUUUCAUUUAAAAUUCCGGUGGUACGGGACGGGCACGCGCGACAUUAGGUAGUUGGCGGGGUAAGGG